UUAAAUGUUUGUGACUGUCCUUGUUUGUGCACAUGCAUAUAUGCAUGUGUGUAUAUAUAAAACAGUUAACUUGAUGUUUUUUGCCUCUUGUUUAUUUAUAGAUUGGAAAUUAAAGAGCAUUCUCAACAAGUAUUUUUUAAGUGCCUAUUAUGUGCUGUCCUGCAUUUCCAAUUCUCAAAUGAUUUCUCAACUUUGGCUGAACUACUAAAAAGGAAUAAAUCAGUCUUUCUACAUAUAUUGAAGAAACUACUGUGUGUUAAAGUCUGGAUAAAUAUCUCAGUGACUGAUGCAUCCAGAUUGCUGAGACAAAGAACUGGAUGCACAGUGCCAUGCAGUUGAUAUUACCCUCUGUGCUCCUGAUACCAUCUCACAGGAUUAAAAAAAAGAAGGAACUUAAC